rnacentral:sRNA from 1 species
CCGUUUCAAUCUGAUCGGGGCUGAUGAAGUGAAUGUGGGUAUCAAUGCCCCCUGCGGUAAGAAUCUUGCCCUCUCCGGCGAUCACGUCGGUGGAGGUGCCAAUCGGAAUGGUCACAUCGUCCAUCAUGUCCGGGUUGCCCGAGUGCCCGAUUCCGCAGAUGUGCCCAUCGCGCACCGCCACAUCGGCCUUGUAGAUGCCGGUGUAAUCAAUCACCAGGGCGUUGGUUAUCACCAGAUCCGGCAUCUGGGCAUCGUCAUCGCGGCGAUGUUCGCCGUUUUGCCCCAUGCCCACGCGG